GUUAGGAAUAUUAGACAAUGGGGGCAACCCUGAUCUAGCCAUGCCGCGUGAGUGAUGAAGGCCUUAGGGUCGUAAAGCUCUUUCGCCGGGGAAGAUAAUGACUGUACCCGGUAAAGAAACCCCGGCUAACUCCGUGCCAGCAGCCGCGGUAAUACGGAGGGGGUUAGCGUUGUUCGGAAUUACUGGGCGUAAAGCGCGCGUAGGCGGAUCGGAAAGUUGGGGGUGAAAUCCCGGGGCUCAACCCCGGAAUUGCCUUCAAAACUCCCGGUCUUGAGGUCGAGAGAGGUGAGUGGAAUUCCGAGUGUAGAGGUGAAAUUCGUAGAUAUUCGGAGGAACACCAGUGGCGAAGGCGGCUCACUGGCUCGAUACUGACGCUGAGGUGCGAAAGCGUGGGGAGCAAACAGGAUUAGAAACCCCAGUAGUCC
rnacentral:rRNA from 1 species